rnacentral:rRNA from 1 species
AUUGAACGCUGGCGGCAUGCCUUACACAUGCAAGUCGAACGGCAGCACGGGAGCAAUCCUGGUGGCGAGUGGCGAACGGGUGAGUAAUAUAUCGGAACGUGCCCGGUCGUGGGGGAUAACGUAGCGAAAGCUACGCUAAUACCGCAUACGAUCUACGGAUGAAAGCGGGGGAUCGCAAGACCUCGCGCGAUUGGAGCGGCCGAUAUCAGAUUAGGUAGUUGGUGAGGUAAAGGCUCACCAAGCCGACGAUCUGUAGCUGGUCUGAGAGGACGACCAGCCACACUGGGACUGAGACACGGCCCAGACUCCUACGGGAGGCAGCAGUGGGGAAUUUUGGACAAUGGGCGCAAGCCUGAUCCAGCAAUGCCGCGUGCAGGAUGAAGGCCUCGGUGUAA